rnacentral:sRNA from 1 species
AUAGUUAUUUGUUUGAUCAGUUCCCCUCCUGUCAUCACCGCUGGCCCCUCUCCUAUGUGGAGCCUUCCUCACCCUACUUGGACUCUUGACUCCACAUGUUAUGCUGCUGCCCCCGCGUGGGCAUCUUCCUCACCCUGCACAGACUCUGACAUCCCGCACUGCUCAACGACCCUACAUGGACAUCCUCCUCGUCCUGCUUGGGCUCUGACACCCUACAGCAGGCCACCCCCUGCCAUAAGUGGUCACCCUCCUCACCCUAGUUGGGCCUGUAUACUCCGUAUUAGUUGUCCCCAUGCAUGGAUACCCUUUUCACCCCACAUGGCCUCUGACACCCCACCUUGGACAGCCAUCUUACAAGGGAGCACUUCUUCCCCUGCUCAGGCCUGCUGGCCCCCAGCAUGGAUGCCCUUCUCCACUGGUCCUGCUCUGACACCCCCGGCAGCUUCCUGUGCAGGCGUCUUCCUCACCCUGCUUGGGCUUUGACACCCUGCACAGACAUCCUUCUCUCCUUCCUCAGGCUCUUUCCUGUUCUGAGCCACCAUAGCUUUCUCCUCCACACACCUGAUGGCUUUAGUCUGAAUUAUUAGGGAAAAGAGGGCUACAUAGGCCUGGCCUUCAGUCUUGACUCUUCUGUUUACCGGCCGGGUAAUGUUGGCAAGUUGUUCUCCUUCUCUGAGCCUUGAUUCUGUCUUUGGAAGAUGGAACUGAUAAUAGCCUCUCUUACAGUGGCAUGGGGCGGGGGGGGGGAACUAAAUGCAAAGCACCCAGCUACACAACCAUAUAAAGGAGGCAUUCAACUGCUAACUGUUGCCAUCUUUUUAAUUUUUCCUGGGCUUAGCCUUAACUAAGGCUGCCGAAGUGCGCUUUGUCUCUGACUCUUGCCCUUCUGUUAAUCUUGCAGGUCUACUUUGAGGAUGAGGACAGGGCAGAACUAUACCGGGUGCCUGCCAAGAGCACCUUGCUGCAGGUUCUACAGCACCAGAGGUACUUUGUAAAAGCCCUGACACCAGCAUUUUUGGUCUGUGUAGGAUCCUCUCCUUUUUGCAAGAAUUAUCUCCGGGGGAGAAAGGUGUACCAGAUACGAUGACUAAGCCAGGGCCCCUGGAUCUCCUCCCUCACCUUCCUCUGCUGGGAACCUAGCACACCUGAAUCAGCUGGACAUACUGCUGGAGUCCAGUGCUUUCUUUCCGUCACCCUGGGGAUAGUCCUUCCUAGCAUCGUGGUGGGGGAGGAGCCUCUGGCUUCCCUAAACGGCAGCCUCUCUGGCUGGUCUUCACUUUCCUCAGUUGAUAUAAAACUCUGGGCCUUGGCCAUGAUGUCCUUGGACUCCAUCGCUAAAGGGAACAUCUGCUGCAGUUACCACAGCAACUGACCUGAGUGGCACCCUGGUCUGUGGAGAUGGACUCAGGAUCCAGUGACAGGAUUCUGAACUUCUGUGGCGUUUGACACCUUAGAGAAGCUACCCCUCAAACUGCCCAUCUACACACAAACAAACAAUGCAUAGGAUUCCAAGGCUUUAAAGCUGAGAGACCCUGGCCUCAAGUUAUUUCAUGUGCACAGAAGGAAGCCAUGUGGGGUUGCUGCAGAUGCCUUGAGGUGAAAUGGGGGCAGGAAAGCCACAUCUUGCUCUGCAUUUAUAAAGACCGUACAAACUGAGAUCCUUGGUAUCCCUAAAAAGAUUGCCAAUUUUCUUCAUCUUUGCCAUAUGGAGGACUGUGACAGACUUGGACAGUGGCCUCUGAGUUCCUCUGCAGUUUGACAUUUAGGAUUUUGUGUCUUUUAAACUGGAAAAUCUUCUAGCAUGUUGGGUUGUUAUAGAGUAUAUUUUUGUCUGCAGCUGUUUGUUGCCCCAUUCCUAAGAGGAAUUUAUCCAUCCUG